rnacentral:rRNA from 1 species
AAAUUGAAGAGUUUGAUCAUGGCUCAGAUUGAACGCUGGCGGCAGGCCUAACACAUGCAAGUCGAACGGUAACAGGAAGCAGCUUGCUGUUUCGCUGACGAGUGGCGGACGGGUGAGUAAUGUCUGGGAAACUGCCUGAUGGAGGGGGAUAACUACUGGAAACGGUAGCUAAUACCGCAUAACGUCGCAAGACCA